AAUAAAAGCAUAAAGUUUCCUUGUCGUAACGAGGAUGCAAAAUUACUGCACCCAUAGCUACCUACCUUCGUGUAAUCUGAAUUCCCAUUAAAAUGGUAAAACAUUGUUAUUUAGUGUCGACGUUAAUAAACAAUUACCAGUUUUACUUUAGCAAUUUACCUACCGCUAAAUGUACCACGGCUAGUUUCAGUGCCAAUAGAAGUUCAAGAAGUACCCAAAAAUUGAGUACUAUUUUGUGCCGGGUUUUAAGCGAAAUCCACAAAAAUGCGAUUUGCGAGUGAACGGGACGUCGCGUCGGAAGUGAAGGGGACGUCGCAGGUGGGUACCGAAAAAAGGGAGUAUGGUAACCCCAGACGAGAUUCUUACUGAUGGUGGAGUCAAUACUUCAAACUCGAAUUGCGGGUGAACGGGGCAUCUGAAUUGGGUAUCGACAAAGGAAAUAAAAUGGCUAAUAAAACACUGAUCUACCACACAAAAAUGCGCUUCGAUCUCACACGAGGACUUUGAUAAUUUUUUGUAAAACUUUUAAAACCACAGACAGGCUCAAUCUAGUUGCGUUUAUGAGAUACAGGGUGAAAACGAAAAUAUUGACUAGUUUUAGGUAGAAUCCAGUGGCGUACUCAGAGAAAAUUUGUACCACCUUUUCUGAAAUUUCACCAAAAGUUGGC